UACGUAGGGGGCAAGCGUUGUCCGGAAUCAUUGGGCGUAAAGAGCGCGUAGGCGGUCCGGUAAGUUGGAAGUGAAAGCCCGAGGCUUAACCUCGGAACUGCUUUCAAAACUACUAAUCUAGAGUGUAGUAGGGGAUGAUGGAAUUCCUAGUGUAGAGGUGAAAUUCUUAGAUAUUAGGAGGAACACCGGUGGCGAAGGCGGUCAUCUAGGCUACAACUGACGCUGAGGCACGAAAGCGUGGGGAGCAAACAGG
rnacentral:rRNA from 1 species